AGAACGGAGUCAAACAAGCUAACCCGUGUUCAAACUCCUCUCGAGAGGCAAAACCACAAGCCUGAGAUCACAGAGCUGACAAGUGGUAAAGCGAAAGGAGGGAGAGCAGGUGUGUCUGGUUCCAGUGCCCGGGGCUCCCUCCCUCUCUCGAGGCAGAGAUCCUUCUGCAACAGGCAGAGCUGAGUCCAGAGAUAUUUUACAGGGUGAGUCCUGAAGAAAGAACCAGGCCUCCCCCCAGACAAACCUUGGAAAGCUCAACCACAGAGUCACAACAAACAGUGUUCCUGCCUUCCCUCGGGACCUUUUCCUGCUUUCCGUCUAUUUGGACACUCAAGACUUAGGGUGAUCAUUUGACCUCAGACCUUAAGAGUUACGGAGAGAAUGGAAAUGGGGACACUUGGUCCAGGGAGGUGAAGCAGCUUCCCCAUGGCUGUGCACCCCAUAACACCAGGGAGGACCCCAUGCGAAGUCUCCUGAUUCUCCAACAGCUAGGACUGGCUUUCAGCGCCACCUCUCCAGCCAAUGAGCCACGUAACCGUGA